rnacentral:rRNA from 1 species
UACAGAGGGGGCAAGCGUUGUUCGGAAUUACUGGGCGUAAAGGGCGCGUAGGCGGCCCGCUAAGUCGAACGUGAAAUCCCCGAGCUCAACUCGGGAACUGCGUCCGAUACUGGUGGGCUUGAAUCCGGGAGAGGGAUGCGGAAUUCCAGGUGUAGAGGUGAAAUUCGUAGAUAUCAGGAGGAACACCGAUGGCGAAGGCAGCCAUCUGGACCGACACUGACGCUGAGGCGCGAAAGCGUGGGGAGCAAACAGGG